rnacentral:rRNA from 1 species
GACGAACGCUGGCGGCGUGCUUAACACAUGCAAGUCGAACGGAAAGGCCCUGCUUUUGUGGGGUGCUCGAGUGGCGAACGGGUGAGUAACACGUGAGUAACCUGCCCUUGACUUUGGGAUAACUUCAGGAAACUGGGGCUAAUACCGGAUAGGAGCUCCUGCUGCAUGGUGGGGGUUGGAAAGUUUCGGCGGUUGGGGAUGGACUCGCGGCUUAUCAGCUUGUUGGUGGGGUAGUGGCUUACCAAGGCUUUGACGGGUAGCCGGCCUGAGAGGGUGACCGGCCACAUUGGGACUGAGAUACGGCCCAGACUACUACGGGAGGCAGCAGUGGGGAAUAUUGCACAAUGGGCGGAAGCCUGAUGCAGCAACGCCGCGUGCGGGAUGACGGCCUUCGGGUUGUAAACCGCUUUCGCCUGUGACGAAGCGUGAGUGACGGAAAUGGGUAAAGAAGCACCGGCUAACUACGUG